UGGGGAAUAUUGCACAAUGGGCGCAAGCCUGAUGCAGCCAUGCCGCGUGUAUGAAGAAGGCCUUCGGGUUGUAAAGUACUUUCAGCGGGGAGGAAGGGAGUAAAGUUAAUACCUUUGCUCAUUGACGUUACCCGCAGAAGAAGCACCGGCUAACUCCGUGCCAGCAGCCGCGGUAAUACGGAGGGUGCAAGCGUUGUCCGGAUUUAUUGGGCGUAAAGCGAGCGCAGGCGGUUUCUUAAGUCUGAUGUGAAAGCCCCCGGCUCAACCGGGGAGGGUCAUUGGAAACUGGGAGACUUGAGUGCAGAAGAGGAGAGUGGAAUUCCAUGUGUAGCGGUGAAAUGCGUAGAUAUAUGGAGGAACACCAGUGGCGAAGGCGGCUCUCUGGCCUGUAACUGACGCUGAGGCUCGAAAGCGUGGGGAGCAAACAGG
rnacentral:rRNA from 1 species